rnacentral:lncRNA from 10 species
GCUGUUCUUAUUUGCUGAAAGAGAAAAGACCACAGAAUUGAAUACCAGUGAUUUCCCGUUUUCUUAACUCUACUGAAAAGUCAUAAAACUGCAUUAGCAAUAAUUACAACUACAGUUGACCCUUGAACAACAUGGGAUUAAACUGUGUGGGUCCACUUACAUGCAGAUUUUCUUCCACUUCUGCCACCCUGAGGCAGCAAGUCAGCUCCUCUGCUCCCUCCUUCUCCUCAGCCUACUCUCCACAAAGAUGAUAAAGAAGACCUUUAUAUGAUCCACUUCCACUUAAUUAAUAUGUAUCCAAAUCAUGAGCAGCAUCUUGUGACCCUAGAAGAAAUAAAUGAUACCACCUUGAACACAAAUAUAAUCAUCUUGAACUUUUAUAUAAAUUUCUACAGCAAUUCUGUUAUUAAAAAAAAAAGACCAACAA